CACGUGGCUAUCAUUCUAAAAAAACUCGAUGGGCUUUAGUUCAAUCGUUGGUUUCUGGCCUAAUCUUCACAAGAGAUUAUCUAACCUAACCUGAAAUCUAUCGUUCCCGAUUCCCCUUCCCCGGUGAAGAAACGCUCCUCCGUAUGGCAAUCAAUCAACACGACCCACUAAUCCAACUAAUGGCAACUUCUCAGCUCCAUUUGCCCGACUUGAAGGCAGGCUGUUUCUUAGAUUGGAUCUGAUUAUGUUUGAUUAUCAAUCAUGUGUUUGGGGAUUUGUUCGAUUCUGAAUUGACGAGUGUCUAAUAUCCUUGGAUUUGUUUCAUUGCUUCAGGUUCUAUCGGGCUUGGAUGUUUUCCCAACUUUUUGUCUGGCCAAGCUUUUACCAUUGUCGGCCUCACUCAUUCCAAGAAGCAAUCCACUGGGUGUUUCUUAAUGUUGGUUUGCUCUUAUCGUGCAUGUAGAUAUGAACAAGAGCAGUUUGACAAGCAAGUUCUCCUUAUUCUAAUUAGAUAAACUCCACCUGAUAUAUUGGCAUCUUCUUCCCUCUUAUUUUGACUGCCGUUUGACACUUAUCCUCUUUCAGUUUAACAGGUGAUGGAACAGAGAAAACAGCAUCUUCAUCAAAGGUGGUUCAUGCCCAGAAAAUUGAACCACCGUUUCUAGCUAAAUGAAUAUGUUAUCACUGCACACCCUCAGAUAAAAUUGAGUUUCUCUGCACAGCCAAAAAGACGGGUGUUCAGCCAUAUAACGUUUGGUGUUAUAUUGGAUGCUCCAAAUGUUCAAAGAAACUACUGCGCGAGAUAUCUUCAUUCACAUGUAUGUUUUGUGAAAAGACCGAUGCUGAGGGUUGUCUGAGGUACCGUGUGGAACUGUCGUUGUCAUACCACGCAAAUAUUGUAUCAGGUCAAGUAACAGCUAGGGACAGCGCUCCAGUUUUUAAAAAUAACGGCCAAAUCAACUGACUGGAGACAUAUCUUAAAAGGACAGCAACAUUGCUAGGAAUAGCUAUCAAAAAGGUCGACACAAAAUACAUAGAUUGCUUUGUUUUUGAAUUAAUAUCUAAAGAGAAAGAGGUUCAUCCUCCCACGUUUCUUAAAACAACAAGAACAAAUUCGUUUAGUACACAUCUUGGUUCAUAGAGUCAAAGCUUUGGUA